GCGAUUGUGGUCUAGGGGUUUAUGACGUCUGCUUUACACGCAGAAAAUCGGGAGUUCGAAUCUCCCCAAUCGUA